AUACGUAGGGGGCGAGCGUUGUCCGGAAUGAUUGGGCGUAAAGGGCGCGUAGGCGGCCCGGUAAGUCUGGAGUGAAAGUCCUGUUUUUAAGAUGGGAAUUGCUUUGGAUACUGUCGGGCUUGAGUGCAGGAGAGGUAAGUGGAAUUCCCAGUGUAGCGGUGAAAUGCGUAGAGAUUGGGAGGAACACCAGCGGCGAAGGCGACUUACUGGACUGUAACUGACGCUGAGGCGCGAAAGUGUGGGGAGCAAACAGGAUUAGAUACCCUGGUAGUCCACACUGUAAACGAUGAAUGCUAGGUGUAGGGGGUAUCGACCCCUUCUGUGCCGCAGUCAACACAAUAGGCAUUCCGCCUGGGGAGUACGGCCGCAAGGUUGAAACUCAAAUGAAUUGACGGGG
rnacentral:rRNA from 1 species